rnacentral:lncRNA from 1 species
GCUGGUGUGACUCGUUUUGCACAAAUCGCCCCUGAAAUACUGAUCCAGUCGGUAUCUGCAUUGUCUCUAGUUGAACUGGUGGAGAAACCGCCCGUGUGGGGUUACGAUCUAUGCGUCGUUGGGACGUUUCUCACAAAGAAAGACAUCAAUCUUGUCUCGAUGCGUCGUAGCCUACCAAACACUUCACAACCUGAGCAUGGAGUCGAG